CGAGUGGCGAACGGGUGAGUAACACGUGGGUGAUCUGCCCUGCACUUCGGGAUAAGCCUGGGAAACUGGGUCUAAUACCGGAUAGGACGAUGGUUUGGAUGCCAUUGUGGAAAGUUUUUCGGUGUGGGAUGGGCUCGCGGCCUAUCAGUUUGUUGGUGAGGUAGUGGCUCACCAAGGCGAUGACGGGUAGCCGGCCUGAGAGGGCGACCGGCCACACUGGGACUGAGACACGGCCCAG
rnacentral:rRNA from 1 species